rnacentral:rRNA from 1 species
GAUGAACGCUAGCUACAGGCUUAACACAUGCAAGUCGAGGGGAAACGACAUCGAAAGCUUGCUUUUGAUGGGCGUCGACCGGCGCACGGGUGAGUAACGCGUAUCCAACCUGCCCACCACUUGGGGAUAACCUUGCGAAAGUAAGACUAAUACCCAAUGAUAUCCCACGAAGACAUCUGAAUGGGAUUAAAGAUUUAUCGGUGAUGGAUGGGGAUGCGUCUGAUUAGCUUGUUGGCGGGGUAACGGCCCACCAAGACAACGAUCAGUAGGGGUUCUGAGAGGAAGGUCCCCCACAUUGGAACUGAGACACGGUCCAAACUCCUACGGGAGGCAGCAGUGAGGAAUAUUGGUCAAUGGGCGAGAGCCUGAACCAGCCAAGUAGCGUGCAGGAAGACGGCCCUAUGGGUUGUAAACUGCUUUUAUAAGGGAAUAAAGUGGGUCACGUGUGACUUUUUGCAUGUACCUUAUGAAUAAGGACCGGCUAAUUCCGUG